GCCUGAGUGGCUCAGUCGGUUGAGCGUCUGACUUCAGCUCAGGUCAUGAUCUCACAGUUUGUGAGUUCGAGCCCUCCGUCAGGCU
rnacentral:tRNA from 1 species